AUACAUGCAUUUCUGGGUAGGGCAGAUAUGAAGCACUGAGCAAAGGUAACAGAACAGCAGGGAAGACAGAAAUGAGGUUGAGAAGUCACCAAAGGAAAACUCAAAGGGAAAACCCAUUUCAAAAGGUGGGCUGUACACAGACGAGAUGGCCACAGACGGGGGCUCCAGGUCCGGCCAGAGGAGCCAGGAGGAACAGCAGUAACUUCAGCAAACAAGCAAGAGAGAGAACAAAAGCUGGGCGGUCCAGGAAGGAGACCAGGCACUGCUCCUGCAAAAGCUCGCGCUCAAUCUACUGAGCUACUAUUCUGGAUAUUUUGAACUCCAACGGCUACCAGGUCUGCCCUUCCAGCCUCUACUCAUGUUUACUGGCUCCUGACAGUGAUAAAGGGCUUUGCUGACGUUCACAAGAAGCCAGGGAGUCUGCAAACUGAAUCCUCCCAGAUACCACCCAGAUUUCUCGCUGGUCUCUAAGGCCCUGGCAAACCCUAGAAGAUUAAGAUGCCCUGAGAUAAAUGACAUUCCCUAAUCAAGGCACAGUGGAAACCAUGGGAGGGACAAGGGAGAAAUUGUGAGAAAUCCUAACAAAUGACGUGGCCUCCCAGAGUCAACCCAGAGUGGCCGAUUAGCAACCUUUUGGUAAAAGGAGAACUAAGAAAUGCUUAUGCCCUUCUGUACUGAGAAGUCAUUUCGAGUUAAGCUGUAGUGUAAUUAAAGGGGGGGAAGGAUUUAGCAGGACAAACAGGGAAAAGACAACCACGAGAAGGUAUAUCAUGAAUUUUCUUACCCUGUACAACCCCUAGAAAAAAAAAAAGACCACAAAUAGAAACGUUUGCAGUUUGCUGAGGACAUAAUUAUUAUUAGUUGGAGGGGGAAAAGGCAACUGAAGUUUUAAAGACCGGCUGGGGCAAGAAUAAGAAAUUACCCAGUCGGAGAACAUGUACACUCUAAAUUCAUACGCCAGACCCCCAGCCACGACUUCAGAGAGUUCUACUGGAACGACACCCGAACACAUCCCCACGUCCAGUCCUGGCACAAACUCUGCAUUUGUUCCUCCGCGGAUCGUAGGUCGCGUCCACAGAGCUGUCUAGCUGUCUGGAGGAAUAUUACUCUGGCAACGGGCCUCGCGAUUCCCUGAGCAUCGGGAAUGGCAUUUCGAGUUCAAGGCUGAAGACCGCAGGAAACAAGCUUUAAAAACUAUAGCCCAUCUCAAACAGAUUUAAAACUGCACCCAUUUACUUUAAAAAUAUCCCAAACACCGCACCACGACCGGCUACCUUACCUGUCCUGCCAGUCCCGCCCGGGCAGGUCUAAGAUUUAGUGAAAAGGCUUCCCAAACUCCAAGCAGUGUUUUACAUUUAACCCAAGAAUCCCAAGGUGGCAGGAGGCGGCUUCAGGGACCCAUCUGUGUUCAGAAAGUGGGGAGGCCGGAUCUGCUCUCUCGGAGAGGGGUGCCCGGGGACCCUCGUGACAACAGCGGCCACAGGGCCCUCACCGAGUCAGCACACCAGGCGGUCCCCCAGGUCCUGCGACUGGUGCGCCCGCCCAGACCCCGACGCUCGGGCGCCCGACGGGGAGAAGCUUUGCCCAGAGCGGGGCCCUACGGACGAGGGUUCGCAGCUGCAGCCCCGUCCCGUAGCCCCCCGUCGCUGGAGCGCGGCCACCGGACAGCUGCGCGCAGCUGGACGCGAGCCCUCGACGCCCCUGCCCCAGCCCUUCCUCCCCGGCCCCGGCGCCUAGAGGCCCCCUUCUCGCCUACUGCCCCUGCGGGAGGCCAGAGGCUUGGCCACUUACUGGGG